ensembl:snoRNA U3 Small nucleolar RNA U3
AAGACUAUGCUUUCAGGAAUCGUUUCUAUAGUUUGUUACCAGAGAAGUUUCUCUGAAUGUGUAGAACACCGAGAAAU